rnacentral:rRNA from 1 species
GCCGUAAACAUUGAUAGGUUAAUACAACCCCUAUCCGCCCGGGUACUACAAGCACAAGCUUGAAACCCAAAGGACUUGGCGGUGCUUUAGAUCCUCCUAGAGGAGCCUGUUCUAGAACCGAUAACCCCCGUUCAACCUCACCUUUCCUUGUUUUUCCCGCCUAUAUACCGCCGUCGUCAGCCCACCCCGUGAGGGCUAAAAAGUAGGCUUAAUUGGCACAGCCCAAUACGUCAGGCCGAGGUGUAGCGUAUGGAAAGGGAAGAAAUGGGCUACAUUCCCUGUUUUAGGGCACACGAAUGCUAUGCUGAAACGCAUAUCUUGAAGGAGGAUUUAGCAGUAAGCAGGAAGUAGAGCGUUCUGCUGAAAUUGGCUC